rnacentral:rRNA from 1 species
AGAGUUUGAUCCUGGCUCAGAUUGAACGCUGGCGGAAUGCUUUACACAUGCAAGUCGAGCGGCAGCGCGGGGCAACCUGGCGGCGAGCGGCGAACGGGUGAGUAAUGCAUCGGAACAUGUCCAUGUCGUGGGGGAUAGCCCGGCGAAAGCCGGAUUAAUACCGCAUACGCCCGAGAGGGGAAAGCCGGGGACCGCAAGGCCUGGCGCGAUUGGGUUGGCCGAUGUCCGAUUAGCUAGUUGGCGGGGUAAGAGCCCACCAAGGCGAUGAUCGGUAGCUGGUCUGAGAGGAUGAUCAGCCACACUGGGACUGAGACACGGCCCAGACUCCUACGGGAGGCAGCAGUGGGGAAUUUUGGACAAUGGGGGCAACCCUGAUCCAGCCAUUCCGCGUGAGUGAAGAAGGCCUUCGGGUUGUAAAGCUCUUUUGUCCGGAACGAAACGGUUGGCGUGAAUAUCGCCGACUACUGACGUACCGAA